AUCAAAAGGGACACUGCAGCAUCUCGACGCCAAAUAACUCAAUAUUACAUUUUAUCCUCUCUACGAAGGGGGUAGUAAAAAAUUGUUCUUUCGAGAUGUUGAUAUUGGUACGUAAUAGCCUGUGAUGGAGCAACAUUAUCAAGUUCAUUAUGAAUCGGUAUAGUCAGCAUUGAGUCCGAUGGAGUUGUACAUCCCCAGACAACAAAUUACGUCGCAUCGAUCAUACGGUUUUUUGUUUGUUUGAAUUAAUGCUUGCCACUCGAUAGCGCGCAGAAAUUUUUCUUCAUCUCAUGCCAGAUUGAAAAAACGUUUUCUUCCAUACUCAUUAAUGGCAGGUGUAAAAGGAGAAAAGAUCAAAAAUGAAAAUAUUCGGAUUGAAAAACUCCGAUAAAAUGAACAUA